UACGGGGGGAGCAAGCGUUGUUCGGAUUUACUGGGCGUAAAGGGCGCGUAGGCGGCCUCCGCAAGUCAGUUGUGAAAUCUCCGAGCUUAACUCGGAAAGGUCAACUGAUACUGCGGGGCUAGAGUGCGGAAGGGGCGAACUGGAAUUCUUGGUGUAGCGGUGAAAUGCGUAGAUAUCAAGAGGAACACCUGCGGCGAAGGCGGGUUGCUGGGCCGACACUGACGCUGAGGCGCGAAAGCUAGGGGAGCGAACGGG
rnacentral:rRNA from 1 species